UACGGGGGGGGCAAGCGUUGUUCGGAAUUACUGGGCGUAAAGGGCUCGUAGGCGGCCAACUAAGUCAGACGUGAAAUCCCUCGGCUUAACCGGGGAACUGCGUCUGAUACUGGAUGGCUUGAGGUUGGGAGAGGGAUGCGGAAUUCCAGGUGUAGCGGUGAAAUGCGUAGAUAUCAGGAGGAACACCGGUGGCGAAGGCGGGUCUCUGGGCCGAUACUGACGCUGAGGAGCGAAAGCGUGGGGAGCGAACGGG
rnacentral:rRNA from 1 species